rnacentral:rRNA from 1 species
AGUGAACGCUGGCGGUAGGCCUAACACAUGCAAGUCGAACGGCAGCACAGUAAGAGCUUGCUCUUACGGGUGGCGAGUGGCGGAAGGGUGAGGAAUACAUCGGAAUCUACUUUUUCGUGGGGGAUAACGUAGGGAAACUUACGCUAAUACCGCAUACGACCUACGGGUGAAAGCAGGGGAUCUUCGGACCUUGCGCGAUUGAAUGAGCCGAUGUCGGAUUAGCUAGUUGGCGGGGUAAAGGCCCACCAAGGCGACGAUCCGUAGCUGGUCUGAGAGGAUGAUCAGCCACACGAGAACUGAGACACGGUCCAGACUCCUGCGGGAGGCAGCAGUGGGGAAUAUUGGACAAUGGGCGCAAGCCUGAUCCAGCCAUACCGCGUGGGUGGAGAAGGCCUUCGGGUUGUAAAGCCCUUUUGUUGGGAAAGAAAAGCAGCAGGUUAAUACCCCGCUGUUCUGACGGUACCCAAAGAAUAGGCACCGGCUAACUUCGUG